rnacentral:rRNA from 1 species
CCCUUAAGACGGGGAUAGCGGCGGGAAACUGCCGGUAAUACCCGAUGAUCUGGCGAGACUGCGAUGCUCGUCAGCAAAGGUGUGAUUCCGCUUAGGGAGCGGCUGAUGCGCUAUUAGCUAGUUGGUGAGGUGACGGCUCACCAAGGCUGCGAUGGCUAGGGGGUGUGAGAGCAUGGCCCCCACCACUGGCACUGAGACACUGGCCAGACACCUACGGGUGGCUGCAGUCGAGAAUCUUCGGCAAUGGGCGCAAGCCUGACCGAGCGACGCCGCGUGCGGGAUGAAGGUCUUCGGAUUGUAAACCGCUGUCGGAGGGGAUGAAAUGCGCGGGGGUUCUCCCCCGCGUUUGACAGAGCCUCGGAGGAAGCACGGGCUAAGUUCGUGCCAGCAGCCGCGGUAAUACGAACUGUGCGAACGUUAUUCGGAAUCACUGGGCUUAAAGGG